CCUACGGGAUGCUGCAGUGAGGAAUAUUGGUCAAUGGACGCAAGUCUGAACCAGCCAUGCCGCGUGCAGGAAGACUGCUCUAUGAGUUGUACACUGCUUUUGUACGAGGGUAAAUACCGAUACGUGUAUCGGGUUGAAAGUAUCUUACGAAUAAGGAUCGGCUAACUCCGUGCCAGCAGCCGCGGUAAUACGGAGGAGUCAAGCGUUAUCCGGGUUUGUUGGGUUGAAUGGGGUCGUAGGCGGUUGGAUAAGUGAGAGGUGAAAGCCCGGGGCUCAACUGCGGAACGGCAUCUGAUACUGGCUGGCUAGAGUUUAGUUGCGGUAGGCGGAAUUGAUGGUGUAGCGGUGAAAUGCAUAGAGAUCAUACAGAACACCGAUUGCGAAGGCAGCUUACCAAACUACGACUGACGUUGAGGCACGAAAGCGUGGGGAGCAAACAGGAUUAGAUACCCGUGUAGUC
rnacentral:rRNA from 1 species